GCCCCGGUGGUGAAAUGGUAGACGCGCCGGACUCAAAAUCCGGUUCCGCAAGGAGUGUCGGUUCGAGUCCGACCCGGGGCA
rnacentral:tRNA from 1 species